GCGCCAGUAGCUCAGCGGAACCAGAGCAGCGGGCUUCUAUCCUGCGUGUCGGGGGUUCAAAUCCCUCCUGGCGUCCCA
rnacentral:tRNA from 2 species